rnacentral:rRNA from 1 species
GAGUUUGAUCGUGGCUCAGAUUGAACGCUGGCGGCAUGCCUUACACAUGCAAGUCGAACGGUAACAGGUCUUCGGAUGCUGACGAGUGGCGAACGGGUGAGUAAUACAUCGGAACGUGCCCGAUCGUGGGGGAUAACGAAGCGAAAGCUUUGCUAAUACCGCAUAAGAUCUACGGAUGAAAGCAGGGGACCGCAAGGCCUUGCGCGAACGGAGCGGCCGAUGGCAGAUUAGGUAGUUGGUGGGAUAAAAGCUUACCAAGCCGACGAUCUGUAGCUGGUCUGAGAGGACGACCAGCCACACUGGGACUGAGACACGGCCCAGACUCCUACGGGAGGCAGCAGUGGGGAAUUUUGGACAAUGGGCGAAAGCCUGAUCCAGCCAUGCCGCGUGCAGGAUGAAGGCC